rnacentral:tRNA from 1 species
GCGUCGAUGGUGCAAUGGCGCAGAGCAUUUGCGCCCGGUCAGCAAGAGGUGCGGGUUCGAGUCCCGCCUGGCGCU